rnacentral:tRNA from 1 species
GGGCUUGUGGCUCAGCAGGAAGGGUGCUUGCCUCACAAGCAGGAUGACCUGAGUUCUAGCCUCAGUACCCUCA